GCAAGUCGAGCGCGCCCUUCGGGGUGAGCGGCGGACGGGUGAGUAACGCGUAGGAAUCUACCCAGUAGUGGGGGACAACAUGGGGAAACGCAAGCUAAUACCGCAUACGCCCUAUGGGGGAAAGCGGGGGAUCUUCGGACCUCGCGCUAUCGGAUGAGCCUGCGUAGGAUUAGCUAGUUGGUGAGGUAAAGGCUCACCAAGGCGACGAUCCUUAGCUGGUCUGAGAGGAUGAUC
rnacentral:rRNA from 1 species